AUUCAGCCCUUCUAUUUCACACAUGCGGAAACUCGGGCUCUCGAGAAGUUGGUUCGUCCACCCAAACUUGCACAGCUAGUUAGAGACAGAUAAAGGCUAGGAUUUCUGGCUUCCAUUUCACCUCUAACCGCCUGUGUUGCUCUUGUGGCUUCAGGACCCUGUUGCCCGGCUCAGAUGAGGGGGCGUGCAGUAAAGCUAAGUACUGACCUCAGGCCUCCUAACGGAUAACAGUGGCUGGCACACCUGCUGCUUCACGCAGCCACAGCCUGACACCAGGGCCUGUGGUGGUGGCCGGAACGUGUGUACUUCCCAAGCCACAAGCGUUCCUCCUUACAGUGGUUGGAAUGGCUUUUCUUGUCCAGAGAACGUGACUUGGCUGUCCUGAAACCAGGCUUAGACUAGCCGUUAGUUAUUUUUUUAAUAGUGACCCAAGCCUUGCAUUAAACUUUUCUCAGCUAAGACGACAGCAGAAGGCAUGUAGCCUGAACCCAUGGGAACCCCUUUCAGCCCUUGGAAGGUCUUUUCAUGGUACAUAAAGACUGUGUAUGAAGGCAGCUCAGACUAAGAAGAUUGGUGCCCACCGCUGGCCUCAGUCAUCCUGCUGAUUUGAGAAGUCUGGAAUCCUUCACCUCUGAUUGUACUCGGAGCUAUAGCGGCAGAAGCGGCAGCUCUGCCCCCUGGUGGACAUAUGAGGCACAGCGCCCUUCUCCGAUUCCAGAAGCCCUGUCACGGUAGAGGCUAGAGGAGCAACCGUGCAAGGUAAAUCUUUUUCGUGGAUAACAUGAGAGUCACGGGCAGCAGUUUGUUCUUUCUGGUUGUUUCCGCCUCCAUAAAAUGAGAACCGCCUCACAGCCAGAGCAGUUUAGCAUCUUGUUCCUGGUCACUCAGUUGGUAAGUGGUAAUGUCAGGAUUUGAACUCAUGCCUGAGUCCAGAGCACCACACUACGCUGGAGCAGACCCUGUGGCCGAGAAGCUUGUGAGUAUUUUGCUGGAGUAUUUUGCUCCGGGAGCAAGUAGAAUGAGCAAUUGGUAAAUUGCCCUGUCGUGGCAUUCUAUGAUGUCACGUUGGCCCACCAGGGGGAAGAGCAGCGAGUCUCACGGGCGUGUGUCAGCAGGGAUUUGGCUGCAAGGUUGCACGAAACCGCCAUGCACGGAGUAUGAAAAACGCCUGGCUGUUUUAUGUAUGCACGCAUGUACGUCCUGUGUCUUGUGUGUUUGUUCUCCUUGUUGUAUGUUACAGGUGUUAUGGAUGCGUUGUGCGUGUUAUGUGUGCAUUCCGUGUAUGUGAGUGGGUUCUGUAAGUGACGGAGGCUUGCCUGGUGACUGAUGUCUUCAACAUUGCAGACCACACGCUCCAACAGCCCACCCUUACUCGGUGCCCACAGCGAGCCGGCCACUCGUCCUAGUGCUUCCCACUAGGGAAGCACUUCCUUCAUCUUCGCAACAGUCCUGGGCAGUAGCUACUAAGAGUAGCCUCACUUUAUGAAUGAGAAAGUGGAGGCACAGAAGGAUCAAUCAACUUGCUCUAGACCACCCAGAUAGUAAGAAGAGGGUCUGGGAUUGGAAACCUGCGAGGCUGGCCUCAAAUCCCCUGGUCUUUUUUUUUUUUUUUCUUUUUUUUUUAAUGUUUAUUUUUGAGAGAGACCGAGUGUGAGCAGGGCAGGGGCAGAGAGAAAGGGAGACAGAAUCCGGAGUAGGCUCCAGGCUCUGAGCAAGCUGUCAGCACAGAGCCCGAUGCGGGGCUCGAACUCACAAACCGUGAGAUCGUGACCUGAGCCGAAGUUGGACGCUUAACCAACUGAGCCACCCAGGUGCCCCCCCUUUUUUUUUUCCUUUUCUUAAUCGGUGCUCCCAGAUCACCAUGUGAAAGAUGAUAGAAUUGUCCUCGUGCUUCUGUGGGUGAAGAGCCUGUGAACCAAGUGACAAUCAGCACCUUCCAAUUAAACAUUAGCCACGGUGAGACAGGUGGCCAUUGCUGGCCUUACAGUGCACGUGUGAUUUCUUUUGUAAAACAUUUUAUUUUUAAGUAAUCUCCGCACUUAACGUGAGGCUCGAACUCACAACCCCGAGAUCAAGAGUCUCAUGCUCUACCAACUGAGCCAGCCAGGCUCAAUUUAAUGAUGUGUGAUUUCUAUCAAUUUAAUGAUGAUUAAGAGUUGAAAAGGAUUGUUGUCGAAAUCUUACAUUUCACACUUGUGAAGUCUGUACAGACAAAAUAGUUUCAUUGAUUUUUUUUCCUCUAAAACUGGGGACCACUUAGAGAGGCCCCAUAUCUAUGGAUCAGAUGUUCUCUGGCUCAUAAGGACACACUGAUUUACUUGAGGUAGGAUGACAUUUCCUCUCUUGUCUUUCUCCAGUUGGCCUUCCUGAGGCCUGGCACUUUGGAGUGGAAGAUAAAACGAAAAAGUCUCUGGCGAUGCCACUGAAGGUGGAGGAGGAGACUGAGCCCGUUACCGUAGCAACACAGGCCAAUGGUUCUCCGUCCGUCCGUCCGUCCGUCCAUCCAUCCAUCCACAAAUGAGUUUUGUCGAUGACAAAAACUCAGACGUGAACGAAAGAAAGUAGUUGCUUUUGCGGAGCAUCUGUUCCAGUGCAGAAAAGGCAUCAAACAACUAAAUAAACAUAGACACAAUAGAAGUCCAGACAGAGAUAAGGGCUUGGAGGAAAAUAAAGCAGGGAAAG